AUCCAGCGCUCUCAAUUUGGUUCCAAACAUUGGACUAAUAGGGAAUUCCAGACGUGACGCCCUUGCUGGUUGAUCACGAAAUCGGAGCUGUCCCCGCAACUGUAUGCAGUGAGCUUCAUCGAAACCACUGGCCAUUCACUGGCCGGGAAGGUGAUGUAAGCGUUUUAGCUGUGAGCCAGUAGACCUGCCAUUUGAGAUCUAUCCAUU
rnacentral:ncRNA from 1 species